rnacentral:lncRNA from 1 species
CAGAAAGCACCCUUAGACAAACACAGACGUGGGAAAGGAAUAAACUUGUGAGGCUCCAUCAGUUUCCCCAUUUGGCUCUUCAGCCCCCUUGCGAAACUGUCUGACCUCGGGCAUCUGCGGAAACGCAGACGCUGAGGAAGCACCGACAGAGGAGCGCUUGGGAUCUCUGCGGGCCCAGCCCAGACCAGUAACCUGCAGCCAAUGACUGACGUCCCAAUCCCUAGUCUGGGGACUGGGGGCUGGGGCGGCGCCACGCUGCUUUCCCGGGAGCCAGAAGACUCUGCUGGACCACCGAGCUCACGUGCAGAAAAGCUCGAGGCCCAGCCUCUGCCCCUGUGACAGGCGCCCAGGGAAAGAAGAGAGCCCUGGCUUCCUCAGGGGUCGGGGGAUGGGGAUGACAGGAUCUCCCUGUGUUGCCCAGGCGGAACUCAAACUCCUCCGCUCAAGCGAUUCUCCUGCCUCAGCCUCCCAACAGCUGCGAGUGCCAUCGUGCCCUAUUACUUUUGUUUAAAAAGGUUUGAAUAUUUAAAAUCAGUUCCAUUUAGUCAAAGAGUUACAAUUAUAGUUCAACUAAACCUGCAGUCAAUGUAAGUAUUCAUACCCUAAGAAAAAGCACCACAAAAUGAUGUCUGUGAUUGUUAACGGUUGAUUGGUUUCCUGUGUCCAUAGUGGACAAUAUUAUGAAGCAUAGACAGAGAAACAUGUUUACUAAGAAGCUUUUUUUUCCUUCCAGGAAAUUCUGUAGGUGAAAAUGUUGAAAUUGUCAGUUGAAAUAUCUGGUGAAGUCUAACAUUAACAUUAAAUAAAAAGCAAGUGACAGGAGAGUACUGAUGUAUAUUCCUCUUGGGAGAUUAACUCUUUCUCUGCUAGUCCCCCCCUCACACCCCCACCCCUGAAUUUGCCCACAGCCAUAGCAGGGCCGUCAGUGUUUCGGGAUGCCAGGCAGACGUAAUUCGGCUUCAGAGCGCCUUGCUUAAGCAAAAGGCUGUGUGUACGUUCCCCAGGAGUCCGAGGACGGGCAGGCUGGCAAAGGCUGGCCCUGGUCACCGCUGGGAGAGGACGCCCCCGGGCUGGCUGCUGUUGCUGCUGGGGCUACUCCUCCCCGCCCCGGUCCUCCUCCAGCUUCUCAGCCGCAGCCGCGCUUCCUGCUCUGGGGCUCUCGCAGCUGUUUAGGUUUAAGCUCAAAUCGAAGCUUGGAGAGGAAGCCCCACAGCUGCGGUUCGACCCUGCCCCGGCAGACCGAGAUGAAAGCAGCUUGCGGAGGCUGCUCCGGCACCCGGCGCGGGCACGCGAGGGAAGAAGCCCCGCGCAAAGCAGCGCAGCCUUGGCUUUUGAAGCUGCCCUCUAUGCACUUCCUCCGGCUUCCAGCCGGAAUCUACGACCCAUCCGCAGAGCGGGCUGGGUAAGGUUGUGCGGCAGCAGCAACCCCGAGGGAAAGAAUUUUGUUUCUUUUUGAGGCCCUGCUGCAUUUCUGGUUCCCAGCCUGGAGCAGGGGGCGCCUCGCUCCCCGGAGUCCCACAGGCUUGGGCCGCAGCUGGGCCGACGCGGUCGACAGGUGUGUGAGGCCGAACCCCGGAGCACCGGGAGGCGGCUGGGAGCCAGGGCAGAACGCCUGGGGCGCAUCCUCAGGGAGGAAUCAUCUGGCGUUCAAGCCGCUCUCGGGUCUUUUGCUGGAUCUGCAGAUCGGCUCACGCAGCAGGAGCCCAAGGAGCAGAACCUGGGCAUGCCAGACUUUGCAGUCGCGCACGCCACCCAGCGCCCGCCUUGCGCUGGUCUCAGCUGGCGUUCCCUCUAUUAGGCAGAUCGCUUAGCGCUUGGGUCGGUUUUAGUUCUCCAGUGUCUCUCUCCAAAGGAAGCGCAGUGUAGUCGUUACUUCUCUACUCUCAGCUCCUAGAGCGAUACCGGGCACACAGCAGCGCGCAAUAAAGUAUUGGCUCUUUCAUUUAACAUGUGUCUGUUGAGCGCUCACUAUGUCCUAAACACCCAAGGCCUCCAGCCUCAGGAAGCUUAAUUUCCAGUUGUUUGGAUGAAUGGGAAAACAAUAAGGUAUUGUUCUUGCGUUGCUAUAAAGAAAUACCUGAGGCCGGGUAAUUU